GACGAACGCUGGCGGCGUGCUUAACACAUGCAAGUCGAACGGAAAGGCCCUGCUUUUGUGGGGUGCUCGAGUGGCGAACGGGUGAGUAACACGUGAGUAACCUGCCCUUGACUUUGGGAUAACUUCAGGAAACUGGGGCUAAUACCGGAUAGGAGCUCCUGCUGCAUGGUGGGGGUUGGAAAGUUUCGGCGGUUGGGGAUGGACUCGCGGCUUAUCAGCUUGUUGGUGGGGUAGUGGCUUACCAAGGCUUUGACGGGUAGCCGGCCUGAGAGGGUGACCGGCCACAUUGGGACUGAGAGACGGCCCAGAAGCCUACGGGAGGCAGCAGUGGGGAAUAUUGCACAAUGGGCGGAAGCCUGAUGCAGCAACGCCGCGUGCGGGAUGACGGCCUUCGGGUUGUAAACCGCUUUCGCCUGUGACGAAGCGUGAGUGACGGUAAUGGGUAAAGAAGCACCGGCUAACUACGUG
rnacentral:rRNA from 1 species